UAAAUAGUGCAUUUUCUAUUUUGUCAUUUACUCUUCUCUGAGCAUUCUUCCUUGGUUGUUUUACCAACAUGAGGUAUGAAGAUUCUUGCUGUGUGAGCUUCUUCCUGCAGCAGCUAUGGUGGAAAUCGAGUCUUCUGGUGCCACCGCUUCUUCCUCUCAGGUCAGCCAGGUCUUUACUAACAAGAAAAUUAGUGUUUGUCUUGAUGAUCGUAACUUUCUUCUUUGGAAACAAAGUGUUUAUCUCGGUGCGAAGUCAUGGGCUCGAAGGCUUUCUUGAUGGUUUCAUGGCUGUGCCCUCCAAGCAUGUAAUCUCUUCCAUAGGUAAGAAAUCAGUAAAUAGUGAAUACCUUGUUUAUGUGAAUCAAGAUUGUGCGUUAGCGUUAGUUCUCAUAUUUUACCUCAGCUUGUUAGAUUUGAAUCAGCAGCUGCUAUUUGGAGUACGUUGAAGCGAUUAUUCUCCAUAUUUUGGAGUGGUACAAGCAUUGCUGGAGGUUGAAAACCCUGAUUUUCUAUAUUUUGUCAACAAAAACCACGAAACUCCACUUUACUUGGCUGCUAAGGGAGGAUAUGGGCGAUCGGUGACUAUAUUACUAGAUAAAUGGCAAUAAAUUGUUCAUGGAGGCCCAUACGGUAGAACAGCUUUGCACACAGCAGUUAUGUCUGGAGAUGUAGAGACAGCAAAGAUAAUAUAAAAGGAGAAAGGGGAUAUAACAAUGGAAACAGAUGAAAAUAGACACACCCCUCUUCAUUAUGCAGCACACUUAGGUCACUAUUCAAUAGUGGAAGAGAUGUUAAAAAAGGAUGUUAUCAGCUGCUUAUAUAGGUGAUAAAAAGUGUGAGAUGACACCCCUUCUUAUGGCAGCCAGGCAAGGCUAUAGACGAACAUGAUGCUAAGCAUGAAUAUGUAUCAGUCAAAAAUCUAAUGGACAGGAAGAUGCCUUUGGAAUCACACCUCAACAAGUUUAUAAUGCAUGUCAAGGCGUGGCAUCUCCAAGAACGAUCGACGUAAAAUGGUACACUUAUAUUUGUGUUUCUACGGCUACGGCUAUGAUUUUAUUAUUAUUUUGAGUUUUCAAUUAAAG